GGGUCUUUUGAGAACUUGGUCCACAUGGCUCUGAGCAACUACCGCCUUCCGCUUGUGAUCGCCAUCUUGACCUGGUGGAUGUUCCCAGAGAUCAUUGACGACUUCCUGUUCCUCGUCUACCUGGGAUACCAGCGUUACAAGAACCUGCUCUUCUCCUGACCUAGUCAGAUAACACACAGUCUACGCCUAUUACCUACUUUAAACAUACCCGGUGUUUACAUGUUGGUGGAUUGAUAAGGGACAAAAAAAGACAUGAAUUGAAAGUUGCUGUGAAGAUAUAUAGAGGAUGAACGACUUACCUUUGAGUAUGCAAACUAAGUCUACAUAUGUUUGAUAUCAAUGAGCAAGUAAAUAAGGAGCCGCUUGGUGUAAUUUAAGUCUUAGAGAAUCUGAACAUUCUGCUAAAAAUAGAACGAUGUCUAGGCAAACAUCGCAAUCAAAAGAAGUCUGAGAUAAUUGAUCUGAAGUCGAAAUAUUCAAGAACAGGUCGAUCUGUUUCGAUACAAAGAAAGGAUUGGCUGAUUAACAAGACGAAAUACCUAUAAAGAAUAAUAGCAGAAGUAUUAAGAAAGGUCGACUACAUCCUAUAAAUUUCGACUAUUGAAACAAAUGUUGACUGUAUCUCAGCUUAGAGUAUUGAUUCUGUCAAUAAAAGUGAACUACAUCCCAUCAUA
rnacentral:sRNA from 1 species